rfam:Candidatus Burkholderia verschuerenii strain TZHbot4 BVERctg82, whole genome shotgun sequence.
CUUCGUCGAUCUGCUGCGGGCUGAUGAAGUGGAUAUGCGAAUCGAUGCCGCCCGCCGUGACGAUCAGCCCUUCGCCCGCGAUCACUUCCGUCGCCGCGCCGAUCGCGAUGUUCACGUUCGGCUGGAUAUCCGGAUUGCCCGCCUUGCCGAUGGCGAAAAUGCGUCCGCCCUUGAUACCGAUAUCGGCUUUGACGAUGCCCCAGUGAUCGAGGAUCAGCGCAUUGGUGACGACGGUAUCGACGACAUCGGCGGCGGGGCGCUGCGACUGGCCCAUGCCGUCGCGGAUG